UUAGCCUACGGGAGGCAGCAGUGGGGAAUAUUGCACAAUGGGGGAAACCCUGAUGCAGCGACGCCGCGUGAGUGAAGAAGUAUUUCGGUAUGUAAAGCUCUAUCAGCAGGGAAGAAAUAGCGACCUUUGGGUCGCCAGACGGUACCUGACUAAGAAGCCCCGGCUAACUACGUGCCAGCAGCCGCGGUAAUACGUAGGGGGCAAGCGUUAUCCGGAUUUACUGGGUGUAAAGGGAGCGUAGACGGCCAUGCAAGUCUGAUGUGAAAACCCGGGGCUCAACCCCGGGACUGCAUUGGAAACUGAGG
rnacentral:rRNA from 1 species